GUCAGGGAGACGUCUUCGUCAAAGUCCCGCGGCGCGUCUUUCAGCGGCCAAACUUGUCCGGCGGACUGAUGGGCGCUCAAAACCUCCCCGAAAUAUCACUCACAACACGAUACAAUUGCCGGACAGGUGAGGUGAUGCAAAAUGCUGGUGACUGGGAAGCUCUCACAUGCCCCACGGCCUGUUUGGAGAAUGACCAGUUGAUUAAAAAAAAUAAAAACUGCCUCUAAACCCCAAAUAAUGCCACAACACGAUUUUUUCUUAACCCUUAAUUAACUUACAACGAACAGUUUGCGCAGUCAGAGCGCGCUGUGCGCUCAGCAGAGACCAACUUUGGGUCGGACGUUGCUGAAGGCCAAACAGAUUUUCCACAAGUCACAGUUAAUGGAGCAGCUUCCACAAAAUUAAAUAAAAUCAAGCAAACGUGUCACUGGAACGAAAUAAUGAAACGAAAACGUAUUAACAUGACAUUAGCAUGUUAAUUUUUUAUUCAUCACGAAUUAAAUACGCACUGAAAAAUCCAACAAAAGCAUUGUGAACCGUAGGAAAUUAACGUUCUGUUUGUGAGUGUAUUUGCUAGUAAAACAAAUAAAAACUAAUAAACAAAUUUAGCCACUAAAACUUUA